rnacentral:rRNA from 1 species
CCUACGGGUGGCUGCAGUGGGGAAUAUUGGGCAAUGGGCGCAAGCCUGACCCAGCAACGCCGCGUGAAGGAAGAAGGCCCUCGGGUUGUAAACUUCUUUUAACAGGGACGAAGAAAGUGACGGUACCUGUUGAAUAAGCCACGGCUAACUACGUGCCAGCAGCCGCGGUAAUACGUAGGUGGCAAGCGUUAUCCGGAUUUACUGGGGGUAAAGGGCGUGUAGGCGGGAGAGCAAGUCAGACGUGAAAUUCCAGGGCUCAACCCUGGAACUGCGUUUGAAACUGUUCUUCUUGAGUGAUGGAGAGGCAGGCGGAAUUCCAGGUGUAGGAGUGAAAUCCGUAGAUAUCUGGAGGAACAUCAGUGGCGAAGGCGACUAUCUGGCACAUAACUGACGCUGAGGAGCGAAAGCGUGGGUAGCAAACAGGAUUAGAUACCCGAGUAGUC